rnacentral:lncRNA from 1 species
GGGGUGUCCCCGCCUGCCUUCCCCGGUUCCCUUUCCCCGGCCAGGCCCUAGGGGAGGGAACGAGCCUCUCCGGAGGUAGCGGCGGCGCCGUUUCUUACCUGAGGGCUGCGCUGGGGGCGGCGAGGCCCGGGCGGGCAUGGCGGCGGGCGGGGAGGGAAGGGGGAAAGGGAGGGAAGGGGAAGAGGGGACGCGGUCGGUUAUCUGAGGCCUCCCGCGGCAACCGCCAUGGAGGGGGAACCCAUGUCACGGCGACAGGAACCGCGUCGCUGCCGGCCCGGCCCCCCUCCCGGCGGCCACCGCCUCCUGCCCCGCCACCGCCCACUUGGCCUCCCAGAAGCCACCGCAAACGCCACCGCCCCCGGCGCCGCCACGCUCCACAGCGGCGGCCAGGCGGGGCGGGCACGCCAAUAAAUAAAUAAGCGAGCGACGAACGCCGCUAGGGUGAUACCUACCCCCCUCACCGGGUGAGGUAGGCGGUGGUUGAACGGCGCCGCCGCCAUCUUAAGUGCUGGCAAGCCCUCUCCCCCUCUCUCCUCCCCCAGCGCGGCAGGGCGGCCAUCUUGGGCGAGGCGUGAGGCGAUGCCGUGGCCGCCAUGUUGGGCUCGGGAGGAAGAGGGCAGUGCCGGGUUGCGGUGUUUUCCGUGCCCUGGCGUAGGCAGUAUGAGGGGGAAAGUUCCUUCAACUUCAGAGUCUGCAACCCGCUUAGCCCCAGGUGGAAUCCCUGAGGGCCUGUCUGCAUUGCGCUGAGAUCUUGUCUGCCGGAGUUACCACCUUCAAAGAGUAGCUUGGUACAAAUUUGUUUCUGGGGAAAAAAGACAUUCGAAUGUGCCUCGGCUUCAUAGGGAAGUGAAUGGGAAGAUGUCCAUUAAACAUAAGUGAAUGUAGGAUCCAGUUCCAGGCUUUAAAAUGGAAAUGACUGAGGUUUUUCUGGGUUAAUGACAACUUCUGUCUCAAAUGCAACUGCCAUGAAAGGAAAGAGGUUCCUUUUGCAGCUAGUGGGCUGCUCCUGUGUAAAAUUCCUUCAGAGGAUACUCCAGGGGAGCCAACUGCAAUUAAACCACAAAAGACCGUGUCUCAGUCCUCCUUUGACAUCUGCUUCUUUGACUUCCAUUAUCUUUAAAUUAGUGCUGUCACUCUGUCGGAAUAGGUCUACCCUUGCCUAGAUCUUUGCCCAUGGAAGGUUUUCUGUAGCACUAACCUAGUUAGGAAUCUGAGGGUUUUCCCCCCAUUUCCUUGGGGUGUAUUAAAAUGGAUUAUCUUGAUAUGAAGAGUAUAAAAUAAGCAGAAGUUAAGAAAAAAAGAAAAAAAAAAGUCCAGGAUCUGAAUCUGUGAGCUCCAGAGACCUCACCAUCCUGAACCCCACUGGGAAUGAAAAAUGCCUGUAAAUCUGAAGUCUUGUAUCUCCCAAAUCUUCAGGCUUAAUAAAAAAACAGAUGAUCAUAUCA